rnacentral:pre_miRNA from 1 species
UAGAGAAAAGUGGUCGCCAACUGACCCGAGCCGUUUGUAACAAGGCUUAAAUUACAAUGUUUUGUUCGUUCGGCUCGCGUUACAAAGGCUGACAAAGUCGU